rnacentral:rRNA from 1 species
GCAUAUCAAUAAGCGGAGGAAAAGAAACCAACAGGGAUUGCCCCAGUAACGGCGAGUGAAGCGGCAACAGCUCAAAUUUGAAAUCUGGCUCUCGGGCCCGAGUUGUAAUUUGUAGAGGAUGCUUUUGGUGAGGUGCCUUCCGAGUUCCCUGGAACGGGACGCCAUAGAGGGUGAGAGCCCCGUCUGGUUGGACACCGAUCCUCUGUAAAGCUCCUUCGACGAGUCGAGUAGUUUGGGAAUGCUGCUCUAAAUGGGAGGUAUAUGUCUUCUAAAGCUAAAUACCGGCCAGAGACCGAUAGCGCACAAGUAGAGUGAUCGAAAGAUGAAAAGAACUUUGAAAAGAGAGUUAAAAAGUACGUGAAAUUGUUGAAAGGGAAGCGCUUGUGACCAGACUUGGGCUUGGUUGAUCAUCCGGGGUUCUCCCCGGUGCACUCUUCCGGCUCAGGCCAGCAUCAGUUCGCCCUGGGGGAUAAAGGCUUCGGGAAUGUGGCUCUCUCCGGGGAGUGUUAUAGCCCGCUGCGUAAUACCCUGUGGCGGACUGAGGUUCGCGCAUUCGCAAGGAUGCUGGCGUAAUGGUCAUCAGUGACCCGUCUUGAAACACGGACC